GUGCUCGCUUCGGCAGCAGAUAUACUGCAUUUGGAUCAGUACAGAGAAGAUGAACGUGGCCCCUGUGCAAGGAUAACAUGCAAAUUUAUGAAACAUUUUUAU
ensembl:snRNA U6 U6 spliceosomal RNA